rnacentral:rRNA from 1 species
AACGAACGCUGGCGGCAGGCUUAACACAUGCAAGUCGAGCGCCCCGCAAGGGGAGCGGCAGACGGGUGAGUAACGCGUGGGAACGUACCCUUUGCUACGGAAUAGCUCCGGGAAACUGGAAUUAAUACCGUAUGUGCCCUACGGGGGAAAGAUUUAUCGGCAAAGGAUCGGCCCGCGUUGGAUUAGCUAGUUGGUGGGGUAAUGGUCUACCAAGGCGACGAUCCAUAGCUGGUCUGAGAGGAUGAUCAGCCACAUUGGGACUGAGACACGGCCCAAACUCCUACGGGAGGCAGCAGUGGGGAAUAAUGGACAAUGGGCGCAAGCCUGAUCCAGCCAUGCCGCGUGAGUGAUGAAGGCCUUAGGGUUGUAAAAUUCUUUCACCGGGGACGAUAAUGACGGUACCCGGAGAAGAAGCCCCGGCUAACUUCGUGCCAGCCGCCGCUGUAAAAC